rnacentral:precursor_RNA from 12 species
GACCAUGUUAGAACAAACCUCUUCUAGCUCAUCCUAAUUGAGGGCAUUUGUUGGUUAUUUGAGGAACAUAAGUGCUCUCAAUUGGGGUAGAAUAGUCUGAGGAAGAAUCAUCCCGUGAGG